rnacentral:pre_miRNA from 2 species
AGCUUUUUGAAUCCGUGCAGAGAUUUCGUCAGAUACCGACCCAUUAGGACUGAUCAGACUUUUAAGAUAAGUGAAGUU